UUGUGACAACAUAACAAGGUGAUACCAUGAUCAGAUGACAACAUUACAAGGUGACACCAUGAUCAGAUGACAACAUUACAAUGUGACAACAUGACAAUGUGACAACAUUACAAUGUGACAACAUUACAUUGUGACAACAUAACAAGGUGUCACCAUGAUCAGAUGACAACAUGAGAAAAGUAACAACAUAAUCAAAUAACAACAUGACCUGGUGACAAGAUGAAAAAGUGACAACAUGAUAGAAUGACAACAUGAUAAAAGUGACUACAUGAUCAGGUGACAGUAUUACAAAGUGACAACAUGAUAAGGUGCCUGUAUUACAAAGUGACAACAUGAUCAGGUGACGGUAUUACAAAGUGAUCGGGUGAUGUAUUACAAAGUGAUCAGGUGACAGUAUUACAAAGUGACAACAUGAUCAGGUGACAGUAUUACAAAGUGAUAAGGUGACAGUAUUACAAAGUGAUCAGGUGACAGUAUUACAAAGUGACAACAUAAGGGGACAGUAUUACAAAGUGAUCAGGUGACAGUAUUACAAAGUGAUCAGGUGACAGUAUUACAAAGUGACAACAUGAUCAGGUGACAGUAUUACAAAGUGAUCAGGUGACAGUAUUACAAAGUGACAACAUGAUCAGGUGACAUUAUUACAAAGUGACAACAUGAUCAGGUGACAUUAUUACAAAGUGACAACAUGAUCAGGUGCCAGUAUUACAAAGUGACAACAUGAUCAGGUGACAGUAUUACAAAGUGACAACAUGAUCAGGUGACAGUAUUACAAAGUGACAAUAUGGUGGUACACUUGUAUAACAACAUGACAGUGUGACAAGAUGACCGGGAGGAUUACAGGAAGAAAUGACAAUAUGUCAAUGUGCCAACACAAAAAGGUAAACAACAUGCUGACUUAAUUUUCAACUCAUUUGUUUUUGAUCUGUCAGCAUAUUGUCGGUGUCCUGGAGUCCUAACACUUUGAUCAAAUAACAAUCACAAUCGUGUAUGUGUCAGAAUGAAGAUUUACAAUUCAUUCACAGACGUGGGCCCUGUGGAAUAGCUCCAGGGCUGUGUUUAGACCUUGUGUGUUUAUAUGUUCCAUGAAUAUUGUAUAGCUUACAGAAUAAAUGCAUUUAAGCAGCUCCAACAGGGACAUAAAUAUUUACGUGUCAGUGAGCGUGUCAGUGAGGGUGCUCCAUUGUAAUGGAGGGAUUGAUAGCGUUACCGUAGAGACCAAUAAUCAAACUCCCGUUCUCCAUUGGUCUUGUAAGCUUAAAGCACUAAAGCAUAUAUUGAUAAUGAGAUUUUCAGAAAAGCUGUUGAAUUUACAAUCAGUUUUGCAAUAAAAAUGAGAAUUUGAUAUCACUGUUCAUACAUAUGGAUUUGACUUGUAACCUUAAUAUGUUAGAGAGGAUGGAAGAUAGGGGAGUAAGAACAGGGGAAUAAAUAAUAGAAUAAGGAGGGAAAUAACUAAUUCAGAAGGAGGAGGGAACAUAGAUAAGGAAAUGGGUAGUUUCGAUGACAAGAAGGGGAAAGGAGUGGAGGAAACAUUAUGAUGGGAAGAGGAACAAAGGGAUGAAGAUGGCG
rnacentral:lncRNA from 1 species